UCAGGACGAACGCUGGCGGCGUGCCUAAUACAUGCAAGUCGAACGGUCUUUCUAUGGAAGCUUGCUUCCACUGAGAAGAUAGUGGCGAACGGGUGAGUAACACGUGGGGUAACCUGCCCAUAAGAGGGGGAUAACAUCCGGAAACGGGUGCUAAUACCGCAUAGUUUUCUUGAUCGCAUGAUCGGGAAAGGAAAGACGGCCUUUGUGCUGUCGCUUAUGGAUGGACCCGCGGCGUAUUAGUUAGUUGGUGAGGUAACGGCUCACCAAGACGAUGAUACGUAGCCGACCUGAGAGGGUGAUCGGCCACAUUGGGACUGAGACACGGCCCAAACUCCUACGGGAGGCAGCAGUAGGGAAUCUUCCGCAAUGGACGAAAGUCUGACGGAGCAACGCCGCGUGAGUGAAAGAAGGUUUUCGGAUCGUAAAACUCUGUUGUCAGAGAAGAACAAGUUGGAGAGUAACUGCUCCAGCCUUGACGGUAUCUGACCAGAAAGCCACGGCUAACUACGUGCCAGCCGCCGC
rnacentral:rRNA from 1 species